GGACAAUUAGCUCAGUUGGUUAGAGCGUCACAUUGACAUUGUGAAGGCCACUGGUUCGAGUCCAGUAUUGUCCA
rnacentral:tRNA from 1 species